AUUGAACGCUGGCGGCAUGCCUUACACAUGCAAGUCGAACGGUAACGCGGGGCAACCUGGCGACGAGUGGCGAACGGGUGAGUAAUAUAUCGGAACGUGCCCAAUAGUGGGGGAUAGCCCGGCGAAAGCCGGAUUAAUACCGCAUACGACCUGAGGGUGAAAGCGGGGGAUCGCAAGACCUCGCGCUAAUGGAGCGGCCGAUAUCAGAUUAGGUAGUUGGUGGGGUAAAAGCCUACCAAGCCGACGAUCUGUAGCUGGUCUGAGAGGACGACCAGCCACACUGGGACUGAGACACGGCCCAGACUCCUACGGGAGGCAGCAGUGGGGAAUUUUGGACAAUGGGCGCAAGCCUGAUCCAGCCAUGCCGCGUGCGGGAAGAAGGCCUUCGGGUUGUAGACCGCUUUUGUCAGGGAAGAAAUCCUUUGAGCUAACACCUCGGGGGGAUGACGGUACCUGAAGAAUAAGCACCGGCUAACUACGUG
rnacentral:rRNA from 1 species